GAUGAACGCUGGCGGCGUGCCUAAUACAUGCAAGUCGAGCGAACAGACGAGGUUGUUUCUCCUCUGACGUUAGCGGCUGACGGGUGAGUAACACGUGGAUAACUUACCUAUAAGACUGGGAUAACUUCGGGAAAGCUGAGCGAAUACCGGAUAAUAUAUUACCCCGCAUGGCUACAUAGCGAAAGACGGUUUUGCUGUAACUUAUAGAUGGAUCAGCGCCGCAUGAGCUAGUUUGUAAGGUAACGGCUUACACAGGCAACGAUGCGUAGCCGACAUGAAAGGGAGAUCGGGCACACUGGAAGUGAGAGACAGUCCAGACACUGACGGGAGGAAGCGGCAGGGAAUCCUCCGCAAGGGGGGAAAGCUUAACGGAGCAACGUCGCGGGAGUGAUGAAGGUCUGCGGAUCGGAAAGCUCUGUAAUAAGGGAAGAAGAAAAGUGUAAGUAACUAGGCACAAAUUGACGGUACCUAACCAGAAAGCCACGGCUAACUACGUG
rnacentral:rRNA from 1 species